UUUCUGACCUAUCAGCUUUCGACGGUAGGGUAUUGGCCUACCGUGGCAGUGACGGGUAACGGGGAAUUAGGGUUCGAUUCCGGAGAGGGAGCCUGAGAAACGGCUACCACAUCUAAGGAAGGCAGCAGGCGCGCAAAUUACCCAAUGAAAACAGUUUCGAGGUAGUGACGAGAAAUAACAAUACAGGGCAUUUUAUGCUCUGUAAUUGGAAUGAUGGGAAUGUAAAACCCUUUCAGAGUAACAAUUGGAGGGCAAGUCUGGUGCCAGCAGCCGCGGUAAUUCCAGCUCCAAUAGUGUAUAUUAGAGUUGUUGCAGUUAAAAAGCUCGUAGUUGGAUUUCUGUCGUGGUCAUCCGGUACCGCCCGUAUGGGUGUGCACCUGGUUUGCCCUCGGCUUUCUUCCGGUAGCCUUCCGCGCUUAACUGCGUGUGUUGGUGUUCCGGAACUUUUACUUUGAG
rnacentral:rRNA from 1 species